AGACCCGAAACCCGGUGAUCUAGCCAUGGGCAGGUUGAAGGUUGGGUAACACUAACUGGAGGACCGAACCGACUAAUGUUGAAAAAUUAGCGGAUGACCUGUGGCUGGGGGUGAAAGGCCAAUCAAACCGGGAGAUAGCUGGUUCUCCCCGAAAGCUAUUUAGGUAGCGCCUCGUGAACUCAUCUUCGGGGGUAGAGCACUGUUUCGGCUAGGGGGCCAUCCCGGCUUACCAACCCGAUGCAAACUACGAAUACCGAAGAAUGUUAUCACGGGAGACACACGGCGGGUGCUAACGUCCGUCGUGAAGAGGGAAACAACCCAGACCGCCAGCUAAGGUCCCAAAGUCAUGGUUAAGUGGGAAACGAUGUGGGAAGGCACAGACAGCCAGGAUGUUGGCUUAGAAGCAGCCAUCAUUUAAAGAAAGCGUAAUAGCUCACUGGUCGAGUCGGCCUGCGCGGAAGAUGUAACGGGGCUAAACCAUGCACCGAAGCUGCGGCAGCGACACUAUGUGUUGUUGGGUAGGGGAGCGUUCUGUAAGCCUGUGAAGGUGUGCUGUGAGGCAUGCUGGAGGUAUCAGAAGUGCGAAUGCUGACAUAAGUAACGAUAAAGCGGGUGAAAAGCCCGCUCGCCGGAAGACCAAGGGUUCCUGUCCAACGUUAAUCGGGGCAGGGUGAGUCGACCCCUAAGGCGAGGCCGAAAGGCGUAGUCGAUGGGAAACAGGUUAAUAUUCCUGUACUUGGUGUUACUGCGAAGGGGGGACGGAGAAGGCUAUGUUGGCCGGGCGACGGUUGUCCCGGUUUAAGCGUGUAGGUGUGUGUUCCAGGUAAAUCCGGUUCACUCUAACACUGAGGCGUGAUGACGAGGCACUACGGUGCUGAAGUAACAAAUGCCCUGCUUCCAGGAAAAGCCUCUAAGCAUCAGGUAACACGAAAUCGUACCCCAAACCGACACAGGUGGUCAGGUAGAGAAUACCAAGGCGCUUGAGAGAACUCGGGUGAAGGAACUAGGCAAAAUGGUGCCGUAACUUCGGGAGAAGGCACGCUGACAUGUAGGUGAAGCCCCUGCGGGUGGAGCUGAAGUCAGUCGAAGAUACCAGCUGGCUGCAACUGUUUAUUAAAAACACAGCACUGUGCAAACACGAAAGUGGACGUAUACGGUGUGACGCCUGCCCGGUGCCGGAAGGUUAAUUGAUGGGGUUAUCGCAAGAGAAGCUCCUGAUCGAAGCCCCGGUAAACGGCGGCCGUAACUAUAACGGUCCUAAGGUAGCGAAAUUCCUUGUCGGGUAAGUUCCGACCUGCACGAAUGGCGUAAUGAUGGCCAGGCUGUCUCCACCCGAGACUCAGUGAAAUUGAACUCGCUGUGAAGAUGCAGUGUACCCGCGGCAAGACGGAAAGACCCCGUGAACCUUUACUACAGCUUGACACUGAACAUUGAGCCUUGAUGUGUAGGAUAGGUGGGAGGCUUUGAAGCGUGGACGCCAGUCUGCGUGGAGCCAACCUUGAAAUACCACCCUUUAAUGUUUGAUGUUCUAACCUGGCGCCAUAAUCUGGCGUGGGGACAGUGUCUGGUGGGUAGUUUGACUGGGGCGGUCUCCUCCCAAAGUGUAACGGAGGAGCACGAAGGUCAGCUAAUCCUGGUCGGACAUCAGGAGGUUAGUGCAAUGGCAUAAGCUGGCUUGACUGCGAGAGUGACGGCUCGAGCAGGUGCGAAAGCAGGUCAUAGUGAUCCGGUGGUUCUGUAUGGAAGGGCCAUCGCUCAACGGAUAAAAGGUACUCCGGGGAUAACAGGCUGAUACCGCCCAAGAGUUCAUAUCGACGGCGGUGUUUGGCACCUCGAUGUCGGCUCAUCACAUCCUGGGGCUGAAGUAGGUCCCAAGGGUAUGGCUGUUCGCCAUUUAAAGUGGUACGCGAGCUGGGUUUAGAACGUCGUGAGACAGUUCGGUCCCUAUCUGCCGUGGGCGCUGGAGAAUUGAGGGGGGCUGCUCCCAGUACGAGAGGACCGGAGUGGACGCAUCACUGGUGUUCGGGUUGUCAUGCCAAUGGCACUGCCCGGUAGCUAAAUGCGGAAGAGAUAAGUGCUGAAAGCAUCUAAGCACGAAACUUGCCCCGAGAUGAGUUCUCCCUGAGACUAUAAGUCUCCUGAAGGAACGUUGAAGACGACGACGUUGAUAGGCCGGGUGUGUAAGCGCAGCGAUGCGUUGAGCUAACCGGUACUAAUGAACCGUGAGGCUUAACCUU
rnacentral:rRNA from 1 species